GGAUCCAGACUUUGAUUCUGGCUCAGGAUGAACGCUAGCUACAGGCUUAACACAUGCAAGUCGAGGGGCAGCAUGAACUUAGCUUGCUAAGUUUGAUGGCGACCGGCGCACGGGUGAGUAACACGUAUCCAACCUUCCGUUUACUCAGGGAUAGCCUUUCGAAAGAAAGAUUAAUACCUGAUAGUAUGGUGAGAUUGCAUGAUAGCACCAUUAAAGAUUUAUUGGUAAACGAUGGGGAUGCGUUCCAUUAGGUAGUAGGCGGGGUAACGGCCCACCUAGCCGACGAUGGAUAGGGGUUCUGAGAGGAAGGUCCCCCACAUUGGAACUGAGACACGGUCCAAACUCCUACGGGAGGCAGCAGUGAGGAAUAUUGGUCAAUGGGCGAGAGCCUGAACCAGCCAAGUAGCGUGAAGGAUGAAGGUCCUACGGAUUGUAAACUUCUUUUAUACGGGAAUAAAGUAUCCUACGUGUAGGAUUUUGUAUGUACCGUAUGAAUAAGCAUCGGCUAACUCCGUGCCAGCAGCCGCGGUAAUACGGAGGAUGCGAGCGUUAUCCGGAUUUAUUGGGUUUAAAGGGAGCGCAGACGGGAGAUUAAGUCAGUUGUGAAAGUUUGCGGCUCAACCGUAAAAUUGCAGUUGAUACUGGUUUCCUUGAGUGCAGUUGAGGCAGGCGGAAUUCGUGGUGUAGCGGUGAAAUGCUUAGAUAUCACGAAGAACCCCGAUUGCGAAGGCAGCUUGCUAAACUGUAACUGACGUUCAUGCUCGAAAGUGUGGGUAUCAAACAGGAUUAGAUACCCUGGUAGUCCACACGGUAAACGAUGGAUACUCGCUGUUGGCGAUAUACUGUCAGCGGCCAAGCGAAAGCAUUAAGUAUCCCACCUGGGGAGUACGCCGGCAACGGUGCAACUCAAAGGAAUUGACGG
rnacentral:rRNA from 1 species